UUUAGCAAUAAAGAACCCGGUGACAGGUGCUGCAUGGCUGUCGUCAGCUCGUGUCGUGAGAUGUUCGGGUUAAGUCCCGCAACGAGCGCAACCCUCGCCUUUAGUUGCCAGCAUUCAGUUGGGCACUCUAGAGGGACUGCCGGUGUCAAAACCGGAGGAAGGUGGGAUGACGUCAAGUCCUCAUGGCCUUUAUGUCUAGGGCUACACACGUACUACAAUGGCCGGUACAAAGGGCAGCCACUCAGCGAUGAGGCGCUAAUCCCAUAAAGCCGGUCUCAGUCCGGAUCGCAGUCUGCAACUCGACUGCGUGAAGUCGGAAUCGCUAGUAAUCGUGAAUCAGAAUGUCACGGUGAAUACGUUCCCGGGCCUU
rnacentral:rRNA from 1 species